rnacentral:tmRNA from 1 species
GGGAAAGACCUGGCGGCUGGGCUUUCGGGCCCGACUGACCCGGCGGGAUGGCUGCCGUAAGCCAAAAUCUCGGGAACGGUCGUAACGCGUACGGUCACCCUUCGACGGACGGGGGUUCGAUUCCCCCCAGCUCCACCA